rnacentral:rRNA from 1 species
AUUGAACGCUGGCGGCAGGCCUAACACAUGCAAGUCGAACGAGUGGCGGACGGGUGAGUAAUGUCUGGGAAACUGCCUGAUGGAGGGGGAUAACUACUGGAAACGGUAGCUAAUACCGCAUACCCUCAGAUGUGCCCAGAUGGGACUAGCUAGUAGGUUGGGUAACGGCUGACCUAGGCGACGAUCCCUAGCUGGUCUGAGUGGAUGACCAGCCACACUGGAACUGAGACACGGUCCAGACUCCUACGGGAGGCAGCAGUGGGGAAUAUUGGACAAGGGGCGCAAGCCUGAUGCAGCCAUGCCGCGUGUAUGAAGAAGGCCUUCGGGUUGUAAAGUACUUUCAGCGGGGAGGCGUUACCAGCAGAAGAAGCACCGGCUAACUCCGUGCCAGCAGCCGCGGUAAUUC